rnacentral:rRNA from 1 species
UUGGAGGGCAAGUCUGGUGCCAGCAGCCGCGGUAAUUCCAGCUCCAAUAGCGUAUAUUAAAGUUGUUGCAGUUAAAAAGCUCGUAGUUGAAUUUCGGGGUUAGUAGGUUGGUCAUGCCUCAGGUAUGUACUGAUCUCACUGAUUCCUCCUUCCUGACGAACCGUAAUGCCAUUAAUUUGGUGUUGCGGGGAGACUGGACUGUUACUUUGAAAAAAUUAGAGUGUUUAAAGCAGGCUAACGCUUGAAUACAUUAGCAUGGAAUAAUGAAAUAGGACGUUCGAUCCUAUUUUGUUGGUUUCUAGGAUUGACGUAAUGAUUAAUAGGGAUAGUUGGGGGCAUUAGUAUUCAAUUGUCAGAGGUGAAAUUCUUGGAUUUAUUGAAGACUAACUACUGCGAAAGCAUUUGCCAAGGAUGUUUUCAUUAAUCAAGAACGAAAGUUAGGGGAUCGAAGACGAUCAGAUACCGUCGUAGUCUUAACCAUAAACUAUGCCGACUAGGGAUCGGAUGAUGUUAAUUUUAUAAUGACUCAUUCGGCGCCUUACGGGAAAC